rnacentral:misc_RNA from 1 species
UCUCCGUAGGUGAACCUGCGGAGGGAUCAUUACUGAGUGAGGGUUUAACCGCCCGACCUCCAACCCUUUGUGAAUCGUACUCGUUGCUUCGGGGGCGACCCUGCCGUUUCGACGGCGAGCGCCCCCGGAGGCCUUCAAACACUGCAUCUUUGCGUCUGAGUAAACAUUAAAUGAAACAAAACUUUCAACAACGGAUCUCUUGGUUCUGGCAUCGAUGAAGAACGCAGC